GUGGCAAGCGUUUUCCGGAAUUAUUGGGCGUAAAGCGCGCGCAGGUGGUUUCUUAAGUCUGAGGUGAAAGCCCCCGGCUCAACCGUGGAGGGUCAUUGGAAACUGGGAGACUUGAGUGCAGAAGAGGAGAGUGGAAUUCCAUGUGUAGCGGUGAAAUGCGUAGAGAUGUGGAGGAACACCAGUGGCGAAGGCGACUUUCUGGUCUGUAACUGACACUGAGGCGCGAAAGCGUGGGGAGCAAACAGGA
rnacentral:rRNA from 1 species